rnacentral:rRNA from 1 species
UACGUAGGGUGCAAGCGUUAAUCGGAAUUACUGGGCGUAAAGGGUGCGUAGGUGGUUCUUUAAGUCUGCUGUGAAAGCCCCGGGCUCAACCUGGGAAUGGCAGUGGAUACUGGAGAGCUAGAGUGCGGUAGAGGGUAGUGGAAUUCCCGGUGUAGCAGUGAAAUGCGUAGAGAUCGGGAGGAACACCAGUGGCGAAGGCGGCUACCUGGACCAGCACUGACACUGAAGCACGAAAGCGUGGGGAGCAAACAGG